rnacentral:rRNA from 1 species
UACGGGGGGGGCAAGCGUUGUUCGGAAUUACUGGGCGUAAAGGGCUCGUAGGCGGCCAACUAAGUCGGACGUGAAAUCCCCAGGCUCAACCUGGGAACUGCGUCCGAUACUGGAUGGCUUGAAUCCGGGAGAGGUGAGUGGAACUGCGAGUGUAGAGGUGAAAUUCGUAGAUAUUCGCAAGAACACCAGUGGCGAAGGCGGCUCACUGGCCCGGAACUGACGCUGGAGGUGACGAAGCGGUGGGAGCAAACAGG